rfam:Bordetella ansorpii strain H050680373 genome assembly, contig: ERS1093620SCcontig000002
CCUGACGACCAUAGCAAGGUGGUCCCACCCCUUCCCUUCCCGAACAGGACCGUGAAACACCUUUGCGCCGAUGAUAGUGGAUGUACAUCUGUGAAAGUAGGUCAUCGUCAGGC